AGAGAAUCAAAGAAUUUCCAUCCAUGUCAAUACUGUAUGGUAAAGAAGCCACAUUUUUAUGUUGAUAGGCCUUUAAAAUACUUAAGCUUUAGCUGUUAGGAUAAAAACUGUUCACUUGUUUUUGGGGAAGUCUUUAAAAACCAUAUACAUUACAGCUCUUCAAAUAUAUAUCAUGACAUACAUUAUUAUUGCAGGACUAUUUCUUAAGAAUUUUCUAACUGCCACCUUCCACCCUAGAACUGAAAGAGUAACUCCAUCAUAAAGGGGACAGCUUCUGACAGUCUUGCCUCCACAUAGAAAUGACAAUCUCAUUAAUGAUGCUAAGUUUAUGUUAAGAAAAAUGAGUGAUUCAGAGAAGGCAAUCUGUUACCUGGAGGAAUUUCGAAUUUUUAAAUGAUCAUUGAUCAGAGUUUUUAAGAAUCUCAUGAAAACGGUGGUUCAGAUAACAAGAAGGGAGUUGCAGCCUCCAGGAAAGGAAGAAAGCAACAUUAUUGCUUAUCUUUUAAAUUGCCAACAAAUAAGUGCACCACAUCCUCAUCUGUAAAAUGAGGUUAUAUUCAGUUAGGCCACCCUGGAGUUUCCAUUUUACAGGAAUGCCCCUUCCCAACAGGGAAGAGUAUUUAUGAAGCUUGUUGUGACAUGUCCAAAAUUAAAACAAUAAAAAAAUUGUUUAAAUUGCUGAUCUGAAACUA
rnacentral:lncRNA from 1 species